rnacentral:lncRNA from 1 species
CAUAUAAAGUUUAAAAGUAUAUUGUCUAUCCUUUUACAUGUUUACAAGCCAACUAUUUAUACUAAAACUAGGACAUGAAUAGCCAAUUCUGGCCAUUAAUAAGUAACAUGAAUCAGCCCAUGAACCGAUUUUAAUGAUAUAUGUUCAUCCAUUGAAUGACAUUUAAGUCACAUUCGUCCCCCCUUGCCAUCCAUAGAUGCAUCCUUAGUCAUGAAGCAAAUGUUUGUUCAUCAUGGGUAAUAAAUUUGACUUCUAGAAUCUGCCCAUUCAUCCCUUCAAUUUGGAUGGUGCUUUUAAGGCUCCUUUGUUUCCCACGAAAAAGGCUCCUAGGUGAGCUCAAACGGUAGCUUAAAUGCAGGUUUUAAUUUGCUGCUCAUGCAUUCUCUUAAUUGAGACGGCACAUUAAUGGCUCUAUUGAAGGGACAGAAAUAGCACAUGGAGAAGAGGGAUUUUAAUGCCGUCCCAUGCAUAGGGAGAAGAAUGCAGCAACCAAUUUAAUGUCGUCCAAGCAUGCAUCAAAAUUCAAGAGCCAUUGAUCUUCGCGAAAAGGCUCAUAGGAAAGAGGAAUCCGCAGCCCUUAAUGAGUCCUUUACUAUGCACGAAAAUGGAUGUAUAGAAACACAAUGCAUGCUUCCUUUAAUGCCGUUCAUGCAUGCUUCUAAAGGAGAAGUCAACAGCUCUUUAAAUGCUUCCCUUUGCUAUUAAGUCUAUUGUAGACACAUUAAAUUCGGCAGCUAGCAUUAAACCUGCAUAAUAAAUUGUUCUUUAAAUUCGUCCCCAUAUCCAUGCACCUGCAGACAUUUAAAUCAGCCAUUAACUCAAGUUUAAGGCAAAACAAAAAUUGGGUCAACAAGGCAUAUUAAAUUCGGCUGUUUAGGAAAAAUGCAGCAGCCAACUUCCCUUUAAAUGCCGUUCCAUGCAUGGGAACAUCUCCUUAAAUGCAUGUUUCCUUUGCCAUUUAGCCGAAUUCAAUGACCUGCAGACACAAAAUAAAUUCGGUCAAAUAAUUCAUGCACAUUACAAUUAAUUUCGGCAGCCCUAUUUGAACAUAAUUAAUCUCAUGCUUGAACCAAGACAUAUUAAUUAGCCAUAUUAAUUCGGCUGGACAUGAAUUAAGUUAACAUUAAAUUCGGCAGCCACAAGACACCUUAAAGUGGUUCAUUAAUUCGGCUGAAUUAAGUCAACAAUUAGACAUAUUAAAUUCGGCACUUUAAAGCACUAAAGACACAUUAAACAACAGCAUUAAAUCCGUCCAGACACAUUAAAAGCUGUACUAAAUAGAACACAUUUAAAUAGUCUUAAGACAAAUUUAAAGCAUGCAUUAAAACCAAUAAAACAUAUUUAAAAUGUCCAGAUUUCUUAAUUAAAUACUUAGUAAUUAUUUAAGCUAAAAUAACUAACUUAACUAAUUAAUUUAUUCCAGCAAAUUAAAUUAAAUGAGCUAGUGAGCUAAUAACGAGCUCAAUGAGCUGAAUUGAGCUCAAAUGAGCUGAACCAAAAAUGUUUCCGGGGCGGGGUCGUAUCAUCCCCCCCUUCUUCGAAGCGACUUGCCCUCAAGUCGAGCUUCUUGUCGCUCAUAAAAAGUUUGUCCUUAUACAACCCUUUACGAUAGCAUGGAAUGGAUAGGCUCACAAAAUCAGGUAUGUUAAAACGUUCAUUUGCCUUGAAUCUUUUCCAAAUUUCUUCGUUCAAACAUAGUAAGCUUUCACAACAAUUCAACGACCACACAUUUUCUACAUUAUCAGGUAAAUAAAAAAAACCAUUGGAUUCAUGCUUUUGUUCGAUUGAAACUUGUAGUGGACGUUUGCCUAUUGAUUCACCAACAAAUUUAUCAACAAUAAUAGUCUUACCAACAUAUUUCAAACGAAAUGAAGAUACCAUCAGCAUAAUCCUUUCAUCACAAACAAAUGAAUAGAAAUCUCGCACAAUAAAACUUGGCAAUGGAAAUUGAACGAUGGGUUCUUCCAAAUUCACAUUAUCAGCAUCAAUCAAAAUAGAUAAAUCACUUUCAAAUAAAGCUGAACAAUUAAACACUUCACGAUUGAAAUACUUUCCAAAAACCAAUUCUUCAAAAAGAUGUUUAUUUCCAACCGAAUAGGGCAGAAAGAUUUUAAAGUUCUCAUGAGUCAUACCUUGUUCACCUUGAAGAAUGGAAAAACAAGGAUCAUUUUUACCUUCGUCGAUCAUCACAAAUCUUCUCUCCUUGGACUUGUAAUGCAAUCGAAGCUCCUUGGUGGAAUUAACCUUGUCGAAAUGAAAUACGUACUUCAGGUAUAACCACAGAAAUAGACUAAGGAUUGAAUUGAAAUCAAAUUUAUCAUACCUCGUUUCCUUAUUGAACAACCAAGCAUCAAAACAAUAGAAAUUGUUCGCACACAAUUGGUCAUGCUUGAAUUUCCCAACAAAUGUACUAAAACAGAUUCUGGGUUUAAAAAUUUGAUUUUGAUUAUUAACGCCAAAGAGUAGCAAAGAGUUCAUUAAACCAAACUUGUCAACGCAAAAAUUUGUUUUGGGAAAGCUCGUCUCACCACCAUUUGAGAUUAAAACACUAAUCAAUGAAGGAAAAUCAACCACUUUUUGGCAUGGAGCUUUUACAAAGAUGAAGUCGACAUUAUGUUUAUCCACAUUCAAGGAAGAUAAUGGAAAUUCAAGUGCUAGGUGUUCCUUACCUAUCUUACCUUCGGGCUCAUGUGGUUCAAUUUCAACUUCAUCCUUACCUUUUUCGGUCAGGCAAAAACGUCGCUCGUCAGGAAGAUAUUGAAGUUGAUAUUCGUCAUAGAGAUUUGUCGAAACCUGAAAAGAAGGAACAGAACAAAAACAAACAUCUCGGGGGUUAGUUAAAAUUUUCCUCUCUUUUUCUUGUUCUCGCUCACCAUCUUCCUUUUCUCUCAUUUCUUUUUCAACAUCUUUUUCCUUUUCAAUUUUUUUCUCAAUAUCAAUAUCAAUCUCAAUCUCAAUCUCAAAUUCUUUUUUCUUUUUCUCACUCUCAUUUUCUUUUUUUCUUCUCUCAAUUUCAUUCAAGAUUCGUUCAUUUUCUUGCAUCAACAUCUCUUGUCUUUCUUUUCUUCUAUUUUCUUUUUGUCUUGUUCUUCCAUUACAAGAAGAUGAUAACUUAUAAGAAUCAUAACGACAAUCUUCACGUUCGAAAGAAAUGGCAGAUUCAUCGUGCAAGUCACAAACAUCUCUUUGUGAAUAACCCUCCGUGGGAAAAUAUCUCGAUGCAUAAGAAACUCGUUCAUCUCUUCUCGAAUAAUCAUGGAAUGUGUGCUUUUGAAAUGAUCUUGUCUCUGUCUCUUGAUUCGGUGAAUUUGGCUUUCGUCGAAAUCUUUCCUCCACUCGAUCCAAUCUAUCAUGCAACUUAUCAAAUUUUGAUUUCACCAUUCUACGCAUCUCUUGCAUCAAAUAUUGGAAGUCUAUUUCGGAAAAUUCUUCUUGAGACAUUUUUUUGCUAAAAGGAAUAAGUGUUUAAAAUAAAAAGUAAAUACCUCACCACAAAGCCUCGCAAGUCACUCAGAAAGAAAAUUUUCACUCCACUCGUGUUUACGCUCGCUUUUGGCUUUUCUUCUCUCGAAUGAACUCACACCAAUCACUCUUGCCUUUUUCCACUCGAUUUUUCGCCUCUCGAAGUUCUUCGCAAACUAAGUCGACGAAUCAAUACCAUUGGGGUCGGCUUACAAAAUUGAUUUGGCUUGGUAGGUAAUGAUGUCGGAAAUGGUAGGCUAUCAAACAAAAUAGAAUUGGUUAAGUGUGGCUAUAUAGAUAUGGUCCUUCGGGCAACAAGCAAUGCUUUUACAAACCCAAAAUGAAUUUCAAUCACUCUUUUUUUUUCAAUUUUGAUUUUUUUUCUUCUUUUUUUUAAUUCCGAUUUUUUUUCUUCUUUUUUUUUCUUCAAUACUAAAUAUAAAAAGUACAAAUAAAUUGAAUACAAACUUUUUUUUUGAAUUUUUUUUUCAAAUUUUUUUUCAAAUUUUUUUAUAUAUUUUUUUUACAAUACCGUAAUACCGAUAACGUCGAUCUUACUCUGAUUCAGCUAGCUCUGAUACCAAAUGAUACGAUCCGGCCCGGUUAAUGAAUCCGAGUCGUUGUUGUGCCCGAUCGUGAAUUGGAGUAAUUUGAAAGCUUUACAAAAUAGGCUAGAAGAAAAGGAAUUAUUUAGGCUCAAUAAAGUUUUGUUGGUUUAGGAAAUGAAACAUAAAUCAAUGGAUGAAGUUUGGGCUAAGUAUUCAAAAGCCGAACUAACACAAUAAGAGUGUGUUAACCCGUAACUUAGGAGAAUGCUUAGGUUGGUAGGGUGUUGAUGGAAGGUUUGUUAAGUGGAUAGAAACUUCGACCCGCUAUCAAAAAUGAUAGGAACCUCAGUACGAAUCGAACGCCACACUUUUGGGAUUAAAGUGAUAAGUUCGGAUAGAAAGACGGGUUGACGCCACAAGGGUUACUUGAUAAGUCAGACGAGUCUUUGGAGAACAAUGAGAGUUGAAAACAAACUCACAAAGUAAACAAAUUUCAUAUAAAGUUUAAAAGUAUAUUGUCUAUCCUUUUACAUGUUUACAAGCCAACUAUUUAUACUAAAACUAGGACAUGAAUAGCCAAUUCUGGCCAUUAAUAAGUAACAUGAAUCAGCCCAUGAACCGAUUUUAAUGAUAUAUGUUCAUCCAUUGAAUGACAUUUAAGUCACAUUCGUCCCCCCUUGCCAUCCAUAGAUGCAUCCUUAGUCAUGAAGCAAAUGUUUGUUCAUCAUGGGUAAUAAAUUUGACUUCUAGAAUCUGCCCAUUCAUCCCUUCAAUUUGGAUGGUGCUUUUAAGGCUCCUUUGUUUCCCACGAAAAAGGCUCCUAGGUGAGCUCAAACGGCAGCUUAAAUGCAGGUUUUAAUUUGCUGCUCAUGCAUUCUCUUAAUUGAGACGGCACAUUAAUGGAUCUAUUGAAGGGACCGAAAUAGCACAUGGAGAAGAGGGAUUUUAAUGCCUUCCCAUGCAUAGGGAGAAGAAUGCAGCAACCAAUUUAAUGUCGUCCAAGCAUGCAUCAAAAUUCAAGAGCCAUUGAUCUUCACGAAAAGGCUCAUAGGAAAUAGGAAUCAGCAGCCCUUAAUGAGUCCUUUGCUAUGCACGAAAAUGGAUGUAUAGAAACACAAUGCAUGCUUCCUUUAAUGCCGUUCAUGCAUGCUUCUAAAGGAGAAGUCAACAGCUCUUUAAAUGCUUCCCUUUGCUAUUAAGUCUAUUGUAGACACAUUAAAUUCGGCAGCUAGCAUUAAACCUGCAUAAUAAAUUGUUCUUUAAAUUCAUCCCCAUAUCCAUGCACCUGCAGACAUUUAAAUCAGCCAUUAACUCAAGUUUAAGGUAAAACAAAAAUUGGGUCAACAAGGCAUAUUAAAUUCGGCUGUUUAGGAAAAAUGCAGCAGCCAACUUCCCUUUAAAUGCCGUUCCAUGCAUGGGAACAUCUCCUUAAAUGCAUGUUUCCUUUGCCAUUUAGCCGAAUUCAAUGACCUGCAGACACAAAAUAAAUUCGGUCAAAUAAUUCAUGCACAUUACAAUUAAUUUCGGCAGCCCUAUUUGAACAUAAUUAAUCUCAUGCUUGAACCAAGACAUAUUAAUUAGCCAUAUUAAUUCGGCUGGACAUGAAUUAAGUUAACAUUAAAUUCGGCAGCCACAAGACACCUUAAAGUGGUUCAUUAAUUCGGCUAAAUUAAGUCAACAAUUAGACAUAUUAAAU